rnacentral:tRNA from 1 species
UCCCCGGUAGCUCAGCGGUGGAGCAUCCGGCUGUUAACCGGAGGGUCGCUGGUUCGAAUCCGGCCCGGGGAGCCU